AUACUAUACCAAUAUUUAUAACUAUUGAUCAUCCAAACAGGUGAGAGAAGGUGAAUGCAAAGCUUGAAAAAACAAAAUUGCAGAUUUCUUAAUUCAAGAGUUCUCAUCUGAUUUGAUUCAAAUAAAAGAGAAGAACAUGACAAGUAAGGUGUCCAUCAAAGAUUAUAUGUUUUUGAAUCCAGUAGACUAGUACAUGGACGGUAUGAACUUGUUGAAACGAACAAUUGUUCACAAUGUCAUGGAUAGUAUGGUUAUCAACAUAAUUUGCGCGACACGUUCGUAUGCAAAUCCAUAAUAUGCAAAGCCACACGC
rnacentral:sRNA from 1 species